rnacentral:rRNA from 1 species
UGAGGGAUAUUGGUCAAUGGGCGCAAGCCUGAACCAGCGACGCCGCGUGGGUGAAGAAGGUCUUCGGAUCGUAAAGCCCUUUUCCCACUGAAGAGGAAGGACGGUAGGUGGGGAAGAAGUCUCGGCUAACUACGUGCCAGCAGCCGCGGUAAAACGUAGGAGACAAGCGUUAUCCGGAGUUACUGGGCGUAAAGGGCGUGCAGGUGGCGUCUUAAGUCUGUUGUGAAAGCGCCUGGCUUAACCGGGCGAGGCCAAUGGAGACUGAGAGGCUAGAGUACGGUAGAGGAUGGUGGAAUUCCCGGUGUAGCGGUGAAAUGCGUAGAGAUCGGGAGGAACACCCGUGGCGAAGGCGGCCAUCUGGACCAGUACUGACGCUGAGGCACGAAAGCGUGGGGAGCAAACA